rnacentral:rRNA from 1 species
AACGAACGCUGGCGGCAUGCCUAACACAUGCAAGUCGAACGAGACCUUCGGGUCUAGUGGCGCACGGGUGCGUAACGCGUGGGAACCUGCCCUUAGGUUCGGAAUAACUCCCCGAAAGGGGUGCUAAUACCGGAUAAUGUCUUCGGACCAAAGAUUUUUCGCCUUUGGAUGGGCCCGCGUUGGAUUAGCUAGUUGGUAGGGUAAAAGCCUACCAAGGCGACGAUCCAUAGCUGGUCUGAGAGGAUGAUCAGCCACACUGGGACUGAGACACGGCCCAGACUCCUACGGGAGGCAGCAGUGGGGAAUAUUGGACAAUGGGCGAAAGCCUGAUCCAGCAAUGCCGCGUGAGUGAUGAAGGCCUUAGGGUUGUAAAGCUCUUUUACCCGGGAUGAUAAUGACAGUACCGGGAGAAUAAGCUCCGGCUAACUCCGUG